rnacentral:rRNA from 1 species
UACGAAGGGGGCUAGCGUUGCUCGGAAUCACUGGGCGUAAAGGGUGCGUAGGCGGGUCUUAAGUCAGGGGUGAAAUCCUGGAGCUCAACUCCAGAACUGCCUUUAAUACUGCCAGUCUCGAGUCCGGAAGAGGUAAGUGGAACUCCUAGUGUAGAGGUGAAAUUCGUAGAUAUUCGCAAGAACACCAGUGGCGAAGGCGGCUCACUGGCCCGAUACUGACGCUGAGGCACGAAAGCGUGGGGAGCAAACAGG